AUGUCCUAUUAAAAAAGUCAGUGCAAACGCAACAGUUUUGUAAAGUGAGUGAUUUUACAGGUCUGUUGCGUGUGCUUUUUUAUCAAUCUACUAAAGUCGGUUGGUCGCGCAUGAACCCUAUUUUAAUUGAGAAGUUACAGCGUAAGCUGGGUUACCAUUUUA
rnacentral:sRNA from 1 species